GUUCGGAAUUACUGGGCGUAAAGCGCACGUAGGCGGCUUUGUAAGUAAGGGGUGAAAGCCCAGAGCUCAACUCUGGAAUUGCCUUUUAGACUGCAUCGCUUGAAUCCAGGAGAGGUGAGUGGAAUUCCGAGUGUAGAGGUGAAAUUCGUAGAUAUUCGGAAGAACACCAGUGGCGAAGGCGGCUCACUGGACUGGUAUUGACGCUGAGGUGCGAAAGCGUGGGGAGCAAACAG
rnacentral:rRNA from 1 species